rnacentral:rRNA from 1 species
ACGGACAGGGAGGACUCCGUCUCCUGGCGUUGGACUACAAAUGAAAUCUACUACGCGGCUUCGACAUAUACAGCCCAAUUCUCUGGCUCCUUCCCCAGGUUCUCGCCGACGAAGAUUUGGGAGGCACACGCGGAACCCAAAUGCAAGCUCUUUUCCUGGCUGGUGCUCCAUGGAAAAAUCCUCACGGCCGACAUGCUCGCUAUUCGCAGAUGGCCGCACGAUCCUACAUGCCCGCUGUGUCUGGGAGCACCGGAGACGGCAAUUCACCUCUGCAAGGACUGCCCAUUUGCGAUUGCGGUUUGGUCGCAUGUUCAGGCAUGGACCGGGGAGGCGCCAACGAACAUGAUGACAAUUCCGCCUCCCAUGGGAGUCUCCGACUGGUGGGAUCGGCUCAUCUAUCCCCUGUCCAAGGACGAAAGACACCGGUGUAGCGGUCACUUCCUCUACACCAUCUGGAAUAUCUGGAAGGAGCGCAACCGCCGGAUAUUCAUCGGCACCCGCCUCACUCACCUGGAGGUGGCGGCCAUCGCGCUCGACGACAUAAGAAUGCGGGCUUGCGCCUUUGGCAGGGCACAAGUGGCGACCGGCAUAGCAUACCACAACGGUUCUUAUAAGGGUUUUGUCAGGUUUCCCUGGAAAAACCUAUCACCUUUGUACAUAAACCCUCUUUUUCGUCUGAAAUGA